rnacentral:tRNA from 2 species
AUAGGUGUAGCACAGUUGGUAGUGUACUGCAUUUGGGAUGCAGGGGUCGCUGGUUCGAGUCCAGUCACCUAUA